UAGCUAGAUCGACCGAAGAUAUAUAAUUAAGUAUGUACUAGCUAAUAGAUUUUAAUUGAAUUUUACAUAUCGAUAUUUAAUGCACGUGGCCCUGCCCUUAGCAAUAUGUGUAACUUCAAUAAGUAUAACACGACAUAUAUCCUCUUGAAACAAACUUACUAAACGUAAACUCUGAGUUCUGUCUAUGAAUAUUUUCCGAACUCCCCAGAAACAUUAAAAUUCGACGUCCGUAUCCAAACAGAAUGCCUUCUCACAUCUCUAAAGAAAAGUCAUUGGGGAAAUUCGUGGGGAGAGACGCAACGGCGUGUUUUCAGUCGCGGCAGUGCCGUCCACGCCCGAGCCGCGAGAGGGCGCCGCGCGCGCCUACGGACUUGUCAGGACUUGUUGCUCACCUGACAUGCAGCCCAAUGAGACCUGAUUAGUGAAUUAUGUACCACCCAAAUCUGUCAUGAAUUUUAUAACCAAACCGCUCUACAACCAUGCGAAACUGCUCAUGCUAUUAAGUUUCGCGCUCAUCAUCCUUCUUGCCGGCAUUCUUCUCAAGAAUAAAACUAAACAAUUACAAACAGUAAACCCUGAUUACCUCGAGGACGGUUUGCCGACAAAUGCAACAGAGCCCGGGAAAACGAGGAGAAAAGAAUACCUGUACCGUCUUUUGACAAAUACGACCCGUUCACUCAUACAAAUGGAAAUAAAAGCUAGGAGACUGGAGGAAAAUAUGCGUAGGAUUAAGGAAAAGACUGCAGAUUUAUUGUGGAAGAACAAGGACAAAGCGCUGUGGCAUAUUCUGUUUAAAAAUAUAAGCAGACAUAUUUCCAUUCGACACGAGUUCCAUCAACAUUCUAGUUUGCGAAGAAUAAUGCAGGACGCUCACACUGGCACACACAAGGGCAAAAGAAAAGUUUUUCUAAGUUAAACUAUAAACUGUGUAAUCAUGUUUAAUAUAAAUUAUCGUUAGAAUAUUUGUAUAAAGUGCUAGAUUGAAAUUCCAAACAGACAAUAACCGUAUUUUAUUCGAACUAGUUUCUACGUGAACCAACUAGAGAACCGUGCUCGGUGUUCGGCUCCCGGAGCACGUACGAAAAGGUGGAACUUAACAAGGACGCGUGCGACUGGACCUCGAUUUUUCUGGACUUGGAAUGGGUCCGAAUUGAGAUUAGGUAUUGAUGGCGUGUACCUAACGAGAAAUUUACGGAUUUUAGCGAUGAAAUAAAACACUGUAUGAGUAAAUAUUUUUGUAUCCAUAAAGUGUCAAAUAGCAUUAUCUAAAAUGUAUUGUAACAGCAAUUCAAAAUGAUUCAAUAAUAUAAAUUAUAAAGAUAUUCCACUUCUUUAUUUUACACCGUACGUGACUUCCUCUUAAAAAGCGACCCUUUGCCGAAAAAGGUACGUAGAAAUCAUUUCAAUACAGUAAAAAUAAAUCUAAUAAAAAAAACAGGUAAGUAUAUAAAAAUAAACACGAAAGAAGAAAUUACAAAUUGUACUGACCAAAGCGCUGUAUACUGUCAAAGAAUUUAAAUAAUAAAAUCCCAAUUAUUUGAUUUUAUUAAUUAGUACAUUUUGACAUUGCUGCGUUUUUUUUUCAUAUUAUUGUAAUAUUUAAAUAUUGACUUUCUGACAUUACCUAGGUUGCCCUAGCUGUAUACUUUGUACAAUAAUUUUUGACAUUUUUAUAUUAUUAAUUAUUUUGACUGAUUUUUCUAUUU